rnacentral:lncRNA from 1 species
GCGAAGAAGCCCACGAUGCCACUGCCUGGCUGCACAGGGAUGGUGAAUGGAGCAUCCUUCUCCUUCCCAUCCCCCCAAGGCCCACAGGUCUUGUUAAGGUUUGUCACGAAUUUGAUGGAGGUUAUCAACUUAUUGGUACCGCCGUAGGGGUUGCCCACUGUCCCGGAUACUUCUGUGACCACCUCAGACUCGCCAAGCGGGAUCUGCGUGCACCAACACCGAGAAGGGAGAAAAUGUGGAUUAUAUUGGUCAUCACUCAUCAUAUCUAGACGUUUUCUUCGCUGCCAAUCCAUCGAGCAAUCUACUACGUCUACAAUGCACGUGGUCCACUUACCGUGUGAGGAUCUCCACCGGGACCACCCCAGCGACCAGCAGAGCGCUUCUGGCCAGUGUAGUCGAUGUAGGAGAAUGCAAUGGAGUCCACGACCCAGCCAGUGUAAAAAAAAUUGAGAAGUCUGAUCAGAUAUUGCUAAAAAUAUCAUGUAUUUUUGACCGAGGGAAGUAAUAUCAUUUUGUUUUCAGCAUUAAAUGCUUUAGUUAGUUCAUAUUAGCGGUCAGAGUCCCCUCGUGCAAAAGCCAUUGGGCAGGGGACUUUAGUCCCGAUUGGUGGCUCCAACUGAGACUAUACUUACCUUUAGUGUCGGAACCAAAUAUGGUCAGGAUUAAGGCUAAUCCGAUGCAAACCGAAUGUCCGUUCUUUGUACUAGUGAGAUCUUGUUAAGAUUUGUCACAAAUUUGAUGGAGGUAACCAGUGUCGUUGCCGACUGUCCCAGACACUUCUGUGACAAACUCAGACUCAGCGAGCUAGAUCUGCAUGCACCAGAGGGGCGGGAAGGGCGGUGGAUUGGAUAUGUAUAUAUGUCAGCAUGUCAAGCAAUGUAUUAAAAUGUCAGCAUUGUCGCAUACUUUCAUUUUGGUUUCAGAGAAUUGCAAAUGCUUUAGUUUAUAUUAGCUGUUAAGAGUCCCAUUGAUUUGGAUGUCUGUAUUUCAAAUUAAAGUGGCAUCUCUGUCGGAAUGAAGCAAAAGUAAUACAAAAAUUUAGAUGACACCUGAGGCAGCCCAUUGAUUACUCGAAUACCACGAGCAUGAGUCGAGGUCUUUAUUUAUCGAAAUUUAUGACAGAGGAAGCACACAUCACAUUGACCACUUUAUUAGCAAGUAGCAACCAACUGAAGUAGAAGGGUAGACACACCACACUGACAAUUUUAGUGACAAACUAGUAGGGAAUGAAAUGGAAGCAGAAUCUGGAACCAAGCUGCUUCUCAGAGUCUAGAGGGGGCGCACGUAAACGCCAAUGGCCUCAACGAAUUCCCCACCACGUGCAAAGAAGCCCAUGAUGCCAUUGCCUGGCUGCACGGGGAUGGUGAAUGGAGCAUCCUUCUCCUUCCCGUCCCCCCAAGGCCCAUAGGUCUUGUUAAGGUUUGUCACGAAUUUGAUGGAGGUUAUCAACUUAUUGGUACCGCUGUAGGGGUUGCCCACAGUCCCGGAUACUUCUGUGACCACCUCAGACUCGCCAAGCUUGAUCUGCGUGCACCAACACCAUACCAAGAGGGGAGAAAAUGGUGGAUUAUAUUGGUCAUCACUCAUCAUAUAUAGACGUUUUCUUCUUUACGAAUCUGUCGAGCAAUCUACUACGUCAUCUACAAUGCACGUGGUCCACUUACCGUGUGAGGAUCUCCACCGGGACCGCCCCAGCGACCAGCUGAGUGCUUCUGGGCAGUGUAGUCGAUAUAGGAGAAUGCAAUGGAGUCCACGACCCAGCCAGUGUAAACGGUGAUGCUUUCGAGAGACCUGGGUGCUUCUAUGAUGUCCAUUGUUGACCCUCCACUCCCACCGAACAGCCCAAUUUUUGUGACUGGAUACUGUGUGUAUGCAAUAUAGGUAAUAUAUAAAGUUGUAUUAUUUUCUCAGAAGCAACUAAAAUAAAGCUACCGACUUGAUGAACAACUACUUGUAUAUAUAGUAACGUAUAAUUAAUUAUUGUGUGGCUA